UCCCGCGUGGUCUAGCGGUUAGGAUUCCUGGCUUUCACCCAGGCGGCCCGGGUUCGGCUCCCGGCGCGGGAG
rnacentral:tRNA from 1 species